AAAUGCGAUAAGUAGUGUGCAUUGCAGAAUUCAGUGAAUCAUCGAAUCUUUGAACGCACAUUGCGCCCCUUGGUAUUCCAUGGGGCAUGCCUGUUCGAGCGUCAUUUGUACCCUCAAGCUCUGCUUGGUGUUGGGUGUUUGUCCCCGUCUCCGCGCGUGGACUCGCCCCAAAGUGAUUGGCAGCCGGCGUACUGGUCCCGGAGCGCAGCACAUGUCGCGCAAACGAGUGCCUUGGUACGGCGGCGUCCAUAAGCCCCUCUCUCACGCUCUUGACCUCGGAUCAGGUAGGGAUACCCGCUGAACUUAAGC
rnacentral:misc_RNA from 1 species